AGAGUUUGAUCCUGGCUCAGGAUGAACGCUAGCGGCAGGCUUAACACAUGCAAGUCGAGGGGCAGCGGGUCGUAGCAAUACGAUGCCGGCGACCGGCGCAAGGGUGCGUAACGCGUGAGCAAUCUGCCCGUAUCAGGGGGAUAAGCGAUGGAAACGUCGUCUAAUACCGCAUAACAGCCGAGGGGGCAUCUCCUUGGUUUGAAAGCUUCGGUGGAUACGGAUGAGCUCGCGAGACAUUAGUUAGUUGGCGGGGUAACGGCCCACCAAGACCGCGAUGUCUAGGGGAACUGAGAGGUUGGUCCCCCACACUGGAACUGAGACACGGUCCAGACUCCUACGGGAGGCAGCAGUGAGGAAUAUUGGACAAUGGCCGGAAGGCUGAUCCAGCCAUGCCGCGUGAAGGAUAAAGUGACGUACGUGUACGUUUUUGUAGGUACCGCAUGAAUAAGGACCGGCUAAUUCCGUGCCAGCAGCCGCGGUAAUACGGAAGGUCCGGGCGUUAUCCGGAUUUAUUGGGUUUAAAGGGAGCGCAGGCGGAGGCUUAAGCGUGACGUGAAAUGUAGCCGCUCAACGGCUGAGUUGCGUCGCGAACUGGGUUUCUUGAGUGAGUGCGACGUCAGCGGAAUUCGUGGUGUAGCGGUGAAAUGCUUAGAUAUCACGAAGAACCCCGAUUGCGAAGGCAGCUGACGAGCCCUUUACUGACGCUAAAGCUCGAAGGUGCGGGUAUCGAACAGGAUUAGAUACCCUGGUAGUCCGCACGGUAAACGAUGGAUGCCCGCUGUAUGCGAUAUACUGUAUGCGGCCAAGCGAAAGCGUUAAGCAUCCCACCUGGGGAGUACGCCGGCAACGGUGAAACUCAAAGGAAUUGACGGGGGCCCGCACAAGCGGAGGAACAUGUGGUUUAAUUCGAUGAUACGCGAGGAACCUUACCCGGGCUUGAACUGCAGGGGAACGAUCCAGAGAUGGUGAGGUCAGCAAUGACCCCUGUGGAGUNCUGCAUGGUUGUCGUCAGCU
rnacentral:rRNA from 1 species